rnacentral:rRNA from 1 species
GCUUUGGCGGGCCUGCGCCCCAAGAAUGCGCUGCCGGCUCUGCCGGCCCGCGCCCGCCGGAGGACCCUCAAACCCCCGUCUUUAUCGUCGCCGUCUGAGCUUAAAACAAAACAAGUUUAAAACUUUCAACAACGGAUCUCUUGGUUCUGGCAUCGAUGAAGAACGCAGCGAAAUGCGAUAA